AUUAACAAAAUAAAAUAUAAGUGUGUCGUUUAAUGUCCACUCGUUUAUUGCAUUUGUAGUCACUGGGGAUUUGUUAAACUUGUAUUUUUAAUUGAUAUGAAUUAUUCAACAAUCAGAAACAUGUUAUUUAUGAAUACUUUGCAACUAUUUCUAUAUCGAGUUUUGCACGUGAUUCAGGAAACCGGUUUGCACACGAUUAUAUAAUGUUAUAUAUAUUUAUAAAUGUGCGUGCUUCCAUCGAACGUAUUGAGUGCUUAUGCAGUGUUUGUAUUCACGAAGACUGCUUAAGGUAAAAGUAUCGAGUUUGCACUAAUGCAUAUGCAUCAAUGCAUUGAGUUUUCACACAGCUCCAAAAAUAAUACAUAAUAAAAAUUGAAAAAGCUAGCCUAAUCAUUUUUUAUGUUGUUUAAUACUGUUGUUUUUCUCUAUCUGUCUUUCCAGUGCGAACAUUUGUGGUGCAACAAUAGAAGGAUAUGGUGCAUCCUGGUUUUGGAGUCCAAUGCUGUCUGCGGAAAUACACAGAGAAGUUGAUUCAGUGUUUAAUGGUGUACAUCUCUGACAAUGCUGAUAAUCUCAUCAGGCAUUACCAGGAUAGCCAUGGUGACCUAAAGGAACUGGAACAGCACACACUGAGGAUUAUCACAAAGGUGGCUUCAUGGACGAUCCUUUAGAGACUGUAACUUUCUUUUGGUCAAAUUGUCACUUUUUUCAGAAGUACUACAGUCAUGAUUUUUGGUUUUAGACUAUUUAAGUUGCUGUUUCCAGAGUAGUAUUGCAAUCUCUGUCAGAAAACCUAAAAUGCUUUAUUUUUGUACUGAUUUUACUAAUUGUGUGAAAACCUUUUGUUGAAAUGCUGUCCAAAAAUUAGGUAAAAUGCUUGUUUUGUGUUUAUUGUAUGUUUUGUACUUAUUUUAAGACAUUGAAUGUUCUAGAGCAGUACAGUAAGUUUUAUUCAAUAGCUCAAGGUCUAAAAUUAAUUAAAAUUUUAAGUUUGUUCAA